rnacentral:rRNA from 1 species
CCUACGGGAGGCAGCAGUAGGGAAUCUUCCACAAUGGGCGAAAGCCUGAUGGAGCAACGCCGCGUGGGUGAAGAAGGUCUUCGGAGCGUAAAACCCUGUUGUUAGAGAAGAAAGUGCGUGAGAGUAACUGUUCACGUUUCGACGGUAUCUAACCAGAAAGCGACGGCUAACUACGUGCCAGCAGCCGCGGUCAUACGUAGGUGGCAAGCGUUAUCCGGAUUUAUUGGGCGUAAAGGGAACGCGGGCGGUCUUGUAAGUCUGAUGUGAAAGUCUUGGGCUUAACCGGAGUAGUGCAUUGGAAACUGGGAGCCUUGAGUGCAGAAGAGGAGAGUGGAACGCCAUGUGUAGCGGUGAAAUGCGUAGAUAUAUCGAAGAACACCAGUGGCGAAAGCAGCUCUCUGGUGUGUAACUGACGCUGAGGUUCGAAAGCGUGGGUAGCAAACAGGAUUAGAUACCCUGGUAGUC